CUCAGACGAACGCUGGCGGCAUGCCUAAUACAUGCAAGUCGAGCGGAACCUGGGGAGCUUGCUCCCCAAGUUUAGCGGCGGACGGGUGAGUAACACGUGGGCAACCUGCCCUGCAGAUCGGGAUAACUCCGGGAAACCGGUGCUAAUACCGAAUAGUUUUUGGCCCCGCCUGGGGCCGAACGGAAAGACGGUUUCGGCUGUCACUGCAGGAUGGGCCCGCGGCGCAUUAGCUAGUUGGUGGGGUAAUGGCCCACCAAGGCGACGAUGCGUAGCCGACCUGAGAGGGUGAUCGGCCACACUGGGACUGAGACACGGCCCAGACUCCUACGGGAGGCAGCAGUAGGGAAUCUUCCGCAAUGGACGAAAGUCUGACGGAGCAAUGCCGCGUGAGUGACGAAGGUUUUCGGAUCGUAAAACUCUGUUGUGAGGGAAGAACAAGUACCAAGUAACUACUGGUACCUUGACGGUACCUCACCAGAAAGCCACGGC
rnacentral:rRNA from 1 species